rnacentral:rRNA from 1 species
AUUGAACGCUGGCGGCAGGCUUAACACAUGCAAGUCGAGCGGAGUGAUGGUGCUUGCACUAUCACUUAGCGGCGGACGGGUGAGUAAUGCUUAGGAAUCUGCCUAUUAGUGGGGGACAACAUCUCGAAAGGGAUGCUAAUACCGCAUACGUCCUACGGGAGAAAGCAGGGGAUCACUUGUGACCUUGCGCUAAUAGAUGAGCCUAAGUCGGAUUAGAUAGAUGGUGGGGUAAAGGCCUACCAAGGCGACGAUCUGUAGCGGGUCUGAGAGGAUGAUCCGCCACAGUGGGACUGGAACACGGCCCAGACUCCUACGGGAGGCAGCAGUGGGGAAUAUUGGACAAUGGGGUGAACCCUUAUCCAGCCAUGCCGCGUGUGUGAAGAAGGCCUUAUGGUUGUAAAGCACUUUAAGCGAGGAGGAGGCUCUUUUGGUUAAUACCCAAGAUGAGUGGACGUUACUCGCAGAAUAAGCACCGGCUAACUCUGUGCCAGCAGCCGCGGUAAAAC